rnacentral:rRNA from 1 species
GGUGGCUAUAGCGAAAGUGUGCACCUCUUACCAUUCCGAACAGAGUAGUUAAGACUUUCAGCGCUGAUGGUACUACGUUAACCCGUGGGAGAGUAGGUCGUUGCCU